CUACUAGCUAUUCUGUAGCAAGAAUAAUUUAAAGCGUGCUGCUUUGAAAUGAGACUCCCUUCUCGCUUCACAAUUACUUUCGAAUUGUAAUGAGGAAAUAAAACAAGUGUUAUUUGAAGGGUUAAUUGAGUCUGCUCCGGCAAGCUCUUUGACACCUCAUAUUACGCAUAUACGCAAUGAGGUGAUUAGGUAAUUGAAAUGGGGAGCCAGCGUCAUAUGAACAAAUUAAACUACUCAACACAAUAGAGUAGCACUUGUUUUCAAAAACUAUUUGGUGUACUUUAAGCUGUAGCUUCGGUUAGAUGGCAGACGCUCGAAGGUCUCACUCAGAAAUUUCUAAUUUUGCCUAUUGGCUAUUAGUUAACAAAUUUGUCGUGGAUCGAUAACUGCAGGUAAUCCAUAUGAAGUUGUUAGGAGCUAAUGUCCAUUGCAGAGUCUUAACGCAUGCAGAAAUCUGGCAACCAAAACAUGAGAAUACUGGACCCGGUCAUAGGGAACAAGUGGCACGCCACCGAUCGAGGCAAGCUGAGCAUUAGACACUUUAUGUCUGUUGAACAGGACGAGCUUCAUCCUAUCAGAACGAAAAGUUAUCAGGACUAAUAUUAGCAGUACCCCUGCAUAAGGAAGGAAGAUACGAUUGCUUGGUCUGAAAUCCUACGGAGACUUGUGAGGGAUAUUUCCACGUGCGCGGGAUGUUUUCAAAAAUAUUACAAAUUUGGCAAUUACUUUGACAAGCAACAAAAACGCCAAGUUCAGUUACACAAACUAUCAAUGUGAGCAGCAGCAGGAAAUUCACCAAUCAAGAAGCAGAAAAACAAGGCAAUUCGUAAAAUGUUUUCCUUAUAUGUGUACGUGUAUAUACAUAGUUACAGUAAUAAAAUCUUCGUUGACAAAAUAAAUUUGUUGCCUUUAUGUAGACAUAUUUUAACAACAAAAUAGCGCCGAUGUAUGCAACAUCGAAAGCAGCCACGUAUUAGCGCUCUCAACUAGCAGCGUGUCAAUGUUGAAGUUAUCGAAAUUUCUUUCAUCGAAACUCAUUGCAAUCCGACACUUUGGCUAAGUUGUGACGCCAAUGCGGAUGUGCGUCAACAAAUUGACAG